GCCUUAGUAGCUGGCGAGUGAAGCGGCAAAAGCUCAAAUUUGAAAUCUGCCUUACGGCCGAGUUGUAAUUUGUAGAUGGUAACUCUGUGGCAAGCCUUUGCUCAAGUUUUCUGGAAAGAAACAUCAUGGAGGGUGACAAUCCCGUGAGGCAUUGGUGCAGCUACGUGUAGAGUGCUAUCAAAGAGUCGAGUUGUUUGGGAAUGCAGCUCAAAGUGGGUGGUAGACACCAUCUAAAGCUAAAUAUUGGCGAGAGACCGAUAGCGAACAAGUACUGUGAAGGAAAGAUGAAAAGCACUUUGAAAAGAGAGUGAAAAAGUACGUGAAAUUAUUGAUACAGAAGGGUAUAAAAUUGGACUCAAGGUCUAGGUUCGGUAGCCUCUCGGGGUUGCUUUGUCCUAGGCCCUAAACCAGCAUCAGUUUUGGCAGGUGGAUAAACAACAUGGA
rnacentral:rRNA from 1 species